AACACUGUUAACCUGCGGUACCUGCGGAGGGAUCAUUACCGAGUUUACAACUCCCAAACCCCUGUGAACAUACCAAUUGUUGCCUCGGCGGAUCAGCCCGCUCCCGGUAAAACGGGACGGCCCGCCAGAGGACCCCUAAACUCUGUUUCUAUAUGUAACUUCUGAGUAAAACCAUAAAUAAAUCAAAACUUUCAGCAAUGGAUCU
rnacentral:misc_RNA from 1 species